GGUUGCGAUCAUACCAGCACUAAUGCACCGGAUCCUAUCAGAACUCCGCAGUUAAGCCUGCUUGGGCGAGAGUAGUACUAGGAUGGGUGACCCCCUGGGAAGUCCUCGUGUUGCAACCCC
rnacentral:rRNA from 1 species